GACGAACGCUGGCGGCGUGCUUAACACAUGCAAGUCGAACGGAAAGACCCUGCUUUUGUGGGGUGCUCGAGUGGCGAACGGGUGCGUAACACGUGAGUAACCUGCCCUUGACUUUGGGAUAACUUCAGGAAACUGGGGCUAAUACCGGAUAGGAGCUCCUGCUGCAUGGUGGGGGUUGGAAAGUUUCGGCGGUUGGGGAUGGACUCGCGGCUUACCAGCUUGUUGGUGGGGUAGUGGCUUACCAAGGCUUUGACGGGUAGCCGGCCUGAGAGGGUGACCGGCCACAUUGGGACUGCGAGACGGCCCAGACUCCUACGGGAGGCAGCAGUGGGGAAUAUUGCACAAUGGUCGGAAGCCUGAUGCAGCAACGCCGCGUGCGGGAUGACGGCCUUCGGGUUGUAAACCGCUUUCGCCUGUGACGAAGCGUGAGUGACGGUAAUGGGUAAAGAAGCACCGGCUAACUACGUG
rnacentral:rRNA from 1 species